UACCUGCAAGUCGAGCGGAAAGGCCCUUCGGGGUACUCGAGCGGCGAACGGGUGAGUAACACGUGAGCAACCUGCCCCAAGCUUUGGGAUAACCCCGGGAAACCGGGGCUAAUACCGAAUAUUACCUGGCCUCGCAUGGGGUUGGGUGGAAAGUUUUUCGGCUUGGGAUGGGCUCGCGGCCUAUCAGCUUGUUGGUGGGGUGAUGGCCUACCAAGGCGACGACGGGUAGCCGGCCUGAGAGGGCGACCGGCCACACUGGGACUGAGACACGGCCCAGACUCCUACGGGAGGCAGCAGUGGGGAAUAUUGCACAAUGGGCGGAAGCCUGAUGCAGCGACGCCGCGUGAGGGAUGACGGCCUUCGGGUUGUAAACCUCUUUCAGCAGGGACGAAGCGAGAGUGACGGUACCUGCAGAAGAAGCACCGGCCAACUACGUGCCAGCAGCCGCGGUAAGACGUAGGGUGCGAGCGUUGUCCGGAUUUAUUGGGCGUAAAGAGCUCGUAGGCGGCUUGUCGCGUCGACUGUGAAAACCCGCAGCUCAACUGCGGGCCUGCAGUCGAUACGGGCAGGCUAGAGUUCGGUAGGGGAGACUGGAAUUCCUGGUGUAGCGGUGAAAUGCGCAGAUAUCAGGAGGAACACCGAUGGCGAAGGCAGGUCUCUGGGCCGAUACUGACGCUGAGGAGCGAAAGCGUGGGGAGCGAACAGGAUUAGAUACCCUGGUAGUCCACGCUGUAAACGUUGGGCGCUAGGUGUGGGGGGCCUCUCCGGUUCCCUGUGCCGCAGCUAACGCAUUAAGCGCCCCGCCUGGGGAGUACGGCCGCAAGGCUAAAACUCAAAGGAAUUGACGGGGGCCCGCACAAGCGGCGGAGCAUGCGGAUUAAUUCGAUGCAACGCGAAGAACCUUACCUGGGUUUGACAUGGCCGCAAAACUCGCAGAGAUGUGAGGUCCUUCGGGGGCGGUCACAGGUGGGGCAUGGUUGUCGUCAGCUCGUGGCGGGAGAUGUAGGGUUAAGUCCCCCAACAGACCGCAACCCUCUGUUCGAUGUUGCCAGCGCGUUAUGGCGGGGACUCAUCCAAAACUGCCGGGGCCAACUCCAAGGGAAGGGGG
rnacentral:rRNA from 1 species